AUUCCAUGAUGGGGACAUUUUCUCAGCAACUCCUUAAACCUCUCCCACACAUCAUACAAUAACUCAACAUCUUCUUGGUGAAAAUUGUUGAUUUCACCUCCUUACCUU